CUAGUCUUAUUUUAUAAUGUCAACUUUUCACGUUCCAAAUAUCAUACAUAUGUUUUUCUCUUUACAAACCUUGUUUCAAGAUCAACUUUGAAUUCCUGACGAAAAGGAAAUGCAAAAACUAUCUAACCAUGAAAGAAGAAACAAAAAAUAAUAAAGAUUAAAGAUCUCUGAAACAUUUACUAAAAUUUUUGCUUUUUUUUCUUAGGCUUACUUAAAGCGUGUCUAGCGCAAAUCACUCUGUGCUACAUUGGUUGUGUACUUUUUACGAGAGCAAUGUUAUGUUGUACCAGUUAACACGAGUUGCAGUGCAUCACUCCAGCUUAGAGGCAAGCGAUAUCCGAGCUAGCGGAUGCGCAGCCGGCAGCUGUGAAGAGGAGAAAUCCGAUCCUCAACAUGCGCGCGACUUAUGUAUCCAGAUGUAUUUAAGCGAGCGUAAUUAUUACCGUAACUCCUCCCCCCUUAGUGAGAAGUGUGGCCAUAAUGUAUAAAUUGUCGAGACUUAUACAGCGGUUACUAGGGAUCGACUAUAGAAUUGGGCCAAAAUUAAAAAAUAUAAUUUUAAUUUCUGUAUCGUAAUAUUAAUUUUUUUGAUUACAAUAUGUGUGUAUAUUUAAAAGUAAAAUUAUGAUAUUUUUGUCUGUA